rnacentral:lncRNA from 1 species
GUUUCUGCAGGACCUUGAAGUGAGUCGAACGCUCCUUCAGGUUCAUGUUUAUUUACAUCAGAAGGUCCAUUAACCCUUUCACUCCCAGAUUCAUGUUUUCAUGUUUCACCUCGAUCCUUUUAAGAACGGCAGAUAAAAACACGUCUUUGUUUUCAGGACAACCUCAGCUUCAGUUUAUGGAGCAAAGAGGAAGUAAAAUAAAAGAGACAGAAGAUUCAGAACCAACAAAGUCAACGAGAAACAAAAACGGACCUGAACACCAACAGAACUUUACACAGAAACACGCAGAAAUACAGAGUUUCUGACGUCUUUCUAAAGUGGUUUGAACGUCUUUUUAACACGUUUUUAUCGUGUUUUUAACCUGUUUUUUUUACGUGUUUCUAUCCUGGUUUUGACCUUGAUUUACAGUUUGGACGGCGAGGGGAAGUUACCCCGCUGCAAUAAAAGCUUUUAAUUGUGGGUUUGAUGAAGUUUGAGUCUGAUCCUCCUCCUCCUCCUGAACAGAGAUCUCAGUUUUAGUGAUCCGGUCUCUGAGGGUCGGACCAGGUCUCUGAGGGUCAGACCGGGUCUCUGAGGGUCAGACCAGGUCUCUGAGGGUUGGACCAGGUCUCUGAGGGUCAGACCGGGUCUGCACUGACUCUGAAGAGUCCUCUCUCACUUUGGAGGAGUAGACAUCUCCUCUGCAGAGAAGAUACUUUGAUGAGUUUAUGAAACACGUGGGCUGAGCCGAUCAGCUGAUCUGCUAAAUUUGGACACCCCCCCCCGUGGCGGCGUGGCUGGAACACGUGUUGGUAUUUUGACCCACUCAGUUGUGGAGGUACAUUAAAUCCGCUGCCAAAAAAGCUCUGGACGCCGCGGCGCAGCAGAGCUGCAGCUCGCGGUGCGUGCUGAGGCGGAGGGUGACCUUUGAACCCGCCUCCAACCAAGAACACAAGUCGGUGGAUUUGUGUCCGGAGAGCGUUCAGGUCAAGAUCCAGAGUCAGCCGCGGAGGAAUUCAGGAGGGAGAGGAUUUUUAUAACCCGGUUCUGGAGGAGGCACAAACCGGGCAGAACACAGAGUCCAGGACCAGCUGUCCCCCCCGACCCAAACCCGAGUCCUUUUGGAUCAGGACCUGAUUCCACUGAUUCCUCUGAGUUUACCGAGUUUUACUGAAUUUACUGGAUUUUAUUUUUACUGAGUUCAAGUUCGUUUUGUUUGUAAUUUUAACUCGUUUUUUCAUCUAAAUAUCAAACGAAGUAAAAAACUGUUAAAGUCGCCGAAGAAGGAGAGACAGACGACGGGAUCUUCUGACGGGUUUCUAACAUGUCUCUGACCGGGUUUUUUUUUGUGUUUCUUUUUUUUUUUUACAUUUCUUACAUAUUUCAUGGUUUUUAUAUGUGUUUUUUUUUUGGCGUGUUUUUUUUUGGCGUGUUUUUUUUGGCGUGUUUUUUUUUUGGCGUGUUUUUUUUGGCGUGUUUUCUUGGCGUGUUUUUUGGCGUGUUUUCUUGGCGUGUUUUUUUUGGCGUGUUUUCUUGGCGUGUUUUUUUUGGCGUGUUUUUUUUGGCGUGUUUUUUUUGGCGUGUUUUUUUUGGCGUGUUUUCUUGGCGUGUUUUUUGGCGUGUUUUCUUGGCGUGUUUUUUUUGGCGUGUUUUUUUUUGGCGUGUUUUUUUUGGCGUGUUUUUUGGCGUGUUUUUUUCGGCGUGUUUCUUCCCCUUUUGUUUUUAUGUCAUGUGUUCGUUCUCCACACAGCCCACCACAUAAAGACCGCCUCCGCCCGUGGACUCUGCCGGGGCCGACAGAUGGCGGCAGGUGAGCCGUGGUUGUCCCCGCUCGCCGCCGUCUCUGUAAAGGACAGAUUUACUGCGGCAUCAUGGGAGAAAGCAGCCGACAACAUCUGGAGGCGCGUGACACGAGGCGCGGCGGCGGUGACCUAAUUUAAAGGCCGUAAAAGUGUUCGGAGGAACCCGAAGAGAGAG